rnacentral:lncRNA from 1 species
GGUCUGCUGAGUUAAGGGCAGAGAUCGAUCAGGCCUGCCAGAGGUGUUUACUGGAAUAUAAGGGCUCCUCGGAGCUGAAAGCAAAGAUAGAGGAGGCCUGUGAGGCACGGCUUGCGAAAUUUAAAGCUUCUGAUGGCCUGAAACACGAGAUAUGGAACAGGGGUUUCCGCAUGUUUGCCUUUGGGUUCAAUCGAGGCCUGAAAGAAGCCAGGGAUGCCCCCUCCACCCCACUAGCUCAACUCCGAGCCCCUGAAGUGGACUCUGAUGGCGAGGAGGUGUGUUAUGGGGAGGAUGAUAACCCCCUGCCUAAAGGAGCUUCUCGCACCGCAACUGGACCUCUUG